UUGUAGAGUGUCUUAGUCAAUACAAGAGAUUUGUUAACUCACCUUCAUGCAAGUACAAGCAUCUACAGCUUCUGGUGACCAAGGGCUUCAUGACCUCUUUGACAAUCCACCACAGCAUGCAAAAUCCAAUUGAUUGUCAGGUUCCUUUCAAGUGAGAGUUCUGAGUCAUUGAUCAGAUAAUACUUGCAGAGACAACAAAAGAUGGUGAAGACUGCAAAAUCCAAUUGAUUGUCAGGUUCCUUUCAAGUGAGAGUUCUGAGUCAUUGAUCAGAUAAUACUUGCAGAGACAACAAAAGAUGACGAAGACUAUAUAUCCCGAAUAGGUUUUAUGCUUGCAAGAUGGACCCCGAAUAGCUUUUAUACUUGCAAGAUGGACAAGUCU
rnacentral:lncRNA from 1 species